rnacentral:rRNA from 1 species
GACGUAGGGGGCGAGCGUUAUUCGGAAUUAUUGGGCGUAAAGCGCUCGUAGGCGGGACUGCAAGUCCGUGUUGAAAGACCUCGGCUCAACUGAGGGACCGGCUCGGAUACUUCGAUUCUUGAGGCAAUCAGAGGGUGAUGGAAUUCCCGGUGUAGCGGUGAAAUGCGUAGAUAUCGGAAGGAACGUCGGUGGCGAAGGCGGCCACCUGGGCUGACACUGACGCUGAGGCGCGAAAGCGUGGGGAGCGAACAGG